AGAAAUAAAAGAUAUUAUAGAUUCAGAAACAGAUGACACAACUAAUUGCAGCACUGCAAGUAAUUUAGAUAUGAGUGAAACUUCAGAUACGAAAGAUCAACAUAUAUGGACUCGUGCUGAAACACUGUUACUUAUUACUUUAUAUAAAGAACACGAAGAAAUGUUCAAUAAUCCUAAGAUGUCUGCGAAACAGUGUUGGAAUAAUAUUUCCAA